AGAGCGAACGCUGGCGGCAGGCCUAACACAUGCAAGUCGAACGGACUCUUCGGAGUUAGUGGCGGACGGGUGAGUAACACGUGGGAACGUGCCUUUAGGUUCGGAAUAGCUCCUGGAAACGGGUGGUAAUACCGAAUGUGCCCUUCGGGGGAAAGAUUUAUCGCCUUUAGAGCGGCCCGCGUCUGAUUAGCUUGUUGGUGAGGUAAUGGCUCACCAAGGCUACGAUCAGUAGCUGGUCUGAGAGGAUGACCAGCCACAUUGGGACUGAGACACGGCCCAAACUCCUACGGGAGCAGCAGUGGGGAAUCUUGCGCAAUGGGCGAAAGCCCGAGCAAGCCAUGCCGCGUGUAUGAUGAAGGUCUUAGGAUUGUAAAAUACUUUCACCGGUGAAGAUAAAUGACUGUAGCCGAAGAAGACGCCCCGGAUAACUCGUGCCAGCAGCCGC
rnacentral:rRNA from 1 species